rnacentral:piRNA from 1 species
GGAAAGGAACAGAUGGCUGCCAGGCUC